AUGGGGAAUCUGGAAAGAAACCGGCUGUGGGAGCGAGGGGAAGGGUUGGGGAAAGAAGGAGGGGUGCAGCCUGAGGAAAGGCGAGUAAAGCAGCUGGCAAGGGCGGGAGGAAGAGGCUGCGCUCAGACCGAGUGGGGGAGAGGCUGGCAGGAGCGAGGAGAGCUGCAGGCGAGAGGGGGAGGCUGCUGGAAGGAAGCACCGGCGAACGCGGGCAGGGGAACUUCAGAGGAGGCUGCCAAAAAGGACUGGAGCUGCAGCAGUGCGAGGCAGUGGACAAGGGGGGCAGCAACCACCAGCCCUUGGCAGCCAGCAGAGGGGAAGAGGAGCCCACGGGAAAGAAAAGCAGGCGAGGUUAAGAAUAAAGAGUGUUCCAGGUAUGACAGCUACCUCGGUGAGGUGGAAGAGAGAAUUGACAAGGCAGAUUUCAUGGGUCUCACUCUGUUACCUAGGCUGAAGUAUAGUGGAGGUUGCGGUGAGCCGAGUUCGUGCCAUUGCACUCCAGCCUGGGUAACAAGAGCGAAACUCCGUCUCAAAAAAAAAAAAAAAAAAAAAAGAUGUAAAUGA
rnacentral:lncRNA from 1 species